UACGGAGGAUCCGAGCGUUAUCCGGAUUUAUUGGGUUUAAAGGGUGCGUAGGCGGUUCAUUAAGUCAGGGGUGGAAGACGGCAGCUCAACUGUCGCAGUGCCUUUGAUACUGAUGAACUUGAAUGUACUUGAGGUAGGCGGAAUGUGACAAGUAGCGGUGAAAUGCAUAGAUAUGUCACAGAACACCAAUUGCGAAGGCAGCUUACUAAAGUAUGAUUGACGCUGAGGCACGAAAGCGUGGGGAUCAAACAGG
rnacentral:rRNA from 1 species